rnacentral:rRNA from 1 species
GACGAACGCUGGCGGCGUGCUUAACACAUGCAAGUCGAACGAUAAUCAGGAGCUUGCUCCUGUGAUUAGUGGCGAACGGGUGAGUAACACGUAGGUAACCUACCUCUAUGUCUGGGACAACCUGUCGAAAGACGGGCUAAUACCGGAUAAGACCACGACUCUCACGAGUGUUGUGGUAAAAGUUGGCCUCUUCAUGAAAGCUAACACAAAGAGAUGGGCCUGCGUACCAUUAGCUAGUUGGUAGGGUAAUGGCCUACCAAGGCGACGAUGGUUAGCUGAUCUGAGAGGAUGGUCAGCCACACUGGAACUGAAACACGGUCCAGACUCCUACGGGAGGCAGCAGUGGGGAAUAUUGCGCAAUGGGGGAAACCCUGACGUAGCAACGCCGCGUGAGCGAUGAAGGCCCUCGGGUUGUAAAGCUCUGUCGGAAGGGAAGAAACUAGGAAUGGCUAAUAUCCAUUCUUAUUGACGGUACCCUCAAAGGAAGCACCGGCUAACUCCGUGCCAGCCGCCGCCGUAAAAC